UACUUAUAAUUUCCUAAAGACUGUAAGCUCGUUUGAGCAGGGCCCUCUUCAACCUAUUGUGCCCAUAAGUUUUUGUGAUUGUCUCAUUUAUUGUUAACUCUCCCCCUUUGAUAAUAUUGUAAAGCGCUGCGGAAUAUACUGGUAAAUACCAGUAAUAAUAAUAAUAAUAAUAUAAAGUGUGGCCUGUUUAACCCUGCAUACCUUUUUGUAUGACGC